rnacentral:rRNA from 1 species
AUUGAACGCUGGCGGCAUGCUUUACACAUGCAAGUCGAACGGUAACAGGGAGCUUGCUCCGCUGACGAGUGGCGAACGGGUGAGUAAUGCGUCGGACCGUGCCGAGUAGUGGGGGAUAACGCAGCGGAAGUUGUGCUAAUACCGCAUACGUACUGAGGUAGAACGUGGGGGACGUUCGGGCCUCACGCUAUUCGAGCGGCCGACGUCUGAUUAGCUAGUAGGGGAUGUAAAGGCUCACCUAGGCGACGGUCAGUAGCGGGUCUGAGAGGAUGAUCCGCAACACUGGGACUGAGACACGGCCCAGACUCCUACGGGAGGCAGCAGUGGGGAAUUUUGGACAAUGGGCGAAAGCCUGAUCCAGCCAUGCCGCGUGUCUGAAGAAGGCCUUCGGGUUGUAAAGGACUUUUGUCGGGGAGGAAAUCCCCAGCGCUAAUACCGCUGGGGGAUGACAGUACCUGAAGAAUAAGCACCGGCUAACUACGUGCCAGCAGCCGCUGUAACAC